UCCUCCCUCAAACCCCGUGUUUGGUGUUGGGCCCGCGUUCCCGCAAGGGAACUGGCCUCAAAGACAAUGACGGCGUCCGCGGGACCCUCGGUGCAACGAGCCUUCAGGAGCACGCGCCGAGUUUCAAGGUCCCCCCGGGCCGGUCUAACCCUUUUUUACUUCUAU
rnacentral:misc_RNA from 1 species